GAUGAAGAACGUAGCGAAAUGCGAUAAGUAAUGUGAAUUGCAGAAUUCAGUGAAUCAUCGAAUCUUUGAACGCACAUUGCGCCCCCUGGUAUUCCGGGGGGCAUGCCUGUCCGAGCGUCAUUACAACCCUCAAGCUCAGCUUGGUGUUGGGCCCCGCCGCCCCGGCGGGCCCUAAAGUCAGUGGCGGUGCCGUCCGGCUCCGAGCGUAGUAAUUCUUCUCGCUCUGGAGGUCCGGUCGUGUGCUCGCCAGCAACCCCAAAUUUUUUUCAGGUUGACCUCGGAUCAGGUAGGGAUACCCGCUGAACUUAAGCAUAUCAAUAAGCGGAGGA
rnacentral:misc_RNA from 1 species